ensembl:lncRNA
GUAAAAACGUGGAGCUGUUCGCAGAUGUUGAGGAGAGGAGACGCGGACAGUACUUUUGGUUUUACUGCAUGGAAGGAGCAGAGCGUAGCUUUAUCAAAGAGGAAAAUCUUCAGCCUAAUCAUCAACUCCUGUCUCCUGGAUCCAGCUGCGACAAAGCUUUCAGGCUCCUAUAACCAGCUGAUGACACUGCCUGACAUAUACUGAGCUGUCAGAGCUGCUCUCCACAUCAGCAGAGAGUGACACUGACAGUCUGGACGGUGUGUUUGAUCGACAUCAUCGGAUCAUGCAGAGACAAGGAAACAUCAAAGAACAAAAACAUUAUAAAGCGAGGCAUUUAAAGCUGAAUGAUUUGAAACAGGAAGCUCAAGAUACUCAUUUGUACAAGAAGUACCUCUGCAAAGACGACAUCCCUCCGUACCCCGGACCUGGAGAGGUUUCACUUGAGUUUCAUGUGUCUCGGCUGAAGCACGACACAUACAAAUUAGAAGAGAUCAAGAAUGACGGAGGCUUCAAGGAUCCAAACAGCGGCUCAAAGGAUCCAGACAGACUGUCCCUGGUGUGGUGGAGUCUGGCUGUGGCACCAGAGGAGAUCCAGUCAGCUGAGAGGAGGCUCCUGGAGGAGGCCUUCCCAAACUGGACCGAGGAGCAGGCCCGGCGGAAGCAGGGCUUCCUGGUGGACUUUGCCUCGUCUCCAGCCUUCAGUGAGAAGUCCAGGUAUGGAUCGUACCGCUUCACCUUCACUGUGGAGGAGGUGCUGGAGGCCUACAGCAAGCAGUUUUGCUCCGGCCGCCCGCCCGUCAUGCGUGUUCUCAGGACUUCCCUGUACAGACAGGAAGUGAUGUAUGCUGUGCUGGUCCACAGCUCAGACAGUGAUUGGCUCUUCGCUGAGUAUCCCAUCCUGCCCGACGCUCCGAACACUGUCUGUGCUUACAGGGACGGACGCUUCACCUGGAGGCCCGAGGCCAUGUGCGGGACACACAAGUGCUGAAGUUUGAUUCUGAUGAUCUGAGGAAGAACCUCACGUUCUGUGAGCCUGACGCUGUGACAGUCACACCUGAAUCUGACUUUCAACAUUACGAGGAUGCUCAAAACCUGGUCGCUCGUUUGUGGCCACUGAAGAAGGAAGUUUCACUCCAGCAGAGAAUCAGAGGCUCUACAGGCUCUCUGCGGUGAGACGACGCCCUCAGUCUGAGCUCUGCACACUUUGAUCUUUUCUUUCAUUUUGAAUAAAUCAAACAUAGAGCUUCAUGUUGGUGUGGUUUAAACUCCUGACUGUGCACGUUUUUAAUAUUUUAUAUUGUUGUUGUCAUUUUUCAUCACCCUGAGGCUGUCUUUGAGGUUUCUCCACCUUUAUUCUCCUUUUUCUGAGCGACUGCAGCAUCACCGGCUGCACAGUGAACCAUGGUGGAGGUUACACAGAAGGAAGCAGCCGAGAGGAACGAACACAGAAAAACUGUUUGACGUGACUUUUUUAUUCGAUUAGUUUAUUAAAGGUUUAUUACAUGAAUUUCCAAAGUGCGCAGCAAAAGACCAAAGACAGAUAAAACACACAUGAUGAGUAUAAACAUGUGAUUAUGUGUUUCACUGCACUCUGUCCUGUCUGUGUGUGAUGUGUUCAUGUGACUGAAUCAAAGACUAAUUACUUUGUACACACA